rnacentral:rRNA from 1 species
GACGAACGCUGGCGGCGUGCUUAACACAUGCAAGUCGAACGGAAAGGCCCUGCUUUUGUGGGGUGCUCGAGUGGCGAACGGGUGAGUAACACGUGAGUAACCUGCCCUUGACUUUGGGAUAACUUCAGGAAACUGGGGCUAAUACCGGAUAGGAGCUCCUGCUGCAUGGUGGGGGUUGGAAAGUUUCGGCGGUUGGGGAUGGACUCGCGGCUUAUCAGCUUGUUGGUGGGGUAGUGGCUUACCAAGGCUUUGACGGGUAGCCGGCCUGAGAGGGUGACCGGCCAGAUUGGGACUGAGAUAAGGCCCAGACUCCUACGGGAGGCAGCAGUGGGGAAUAGUGCACAAUGGGCGGAAGCCUGAUGCAGCAACGCCGCGUGCGGGAUGACGGGCUUCGGGUUGUAAACCGCUUUCGCCUGUGACGAAGCGUGAGUGACGGUAAUGGGUAAAGAAGCACCGGAUAACUACGUG